CAGUAGCCGCGGUAAUACGUAAGGUGCGAGCGUUAAUCGGAAUUACUGGGCGUAAAGCGUGCGCAGGCGGUUGUGUAAGACAGGUGUGAAAUCCCCGGGCUUAACCUGGGAACUGCGCUUGUGACUGCACAGCUAGAGUAUGGCAGAGGGGGGUGGAAUUCCACGUGUAGCAGUGAAAUGCGUAGAGAUGUGGAGGAACACCGAUGGCGAAGGCAGCCCCCUGGGCCAAUACUGACGCUCAUGCACGAAAGCGUGGGGAGCAAACAGGAUUAGAGACCCCCGUAGUCCCUGUCUCUUAUAC
rnacentral:rRNA from 1 species